UAAACUCUACUAGUCUGCUGGUAUCUCUGGGAGGAUAACAGCUCUGAUCCCUGACUCCCAUGGCUUCUAAGGUAUAUGACGAUUUCUUUGUAUCUUGUAAAAUAACUAAACCAUUUUGCAAUGAUAAUUGGAGAACUGCUGAACAAUGCUAGUUUUGCUAGAUAUGAUUACAUAAAACUCUAAUUUGCUGUGCACAUCUGUAAUGAUGCAUGUCAAAUCUAAAUACAACCAAGCAGGCACUAAAACAUCCAAAUCCGUAUAUAAUGGAUCAUGUAUUCUAACUUCAAGAUUAUGUUCUACUACUCUGACUCCGCAUGGCCCCCCUCCUCCCAACUUUCCUUCCCCUCUUACCCUACUGCCCAUCCAAAAAGAAAAGAGGGUCAAAAAGCAUAUUGGCACCUCCUCAAGAAUAAGAUGUUCACAUAAAACCACUCAGGGCACUAAAGUACGGGAAAAAAAAAUCAGAUCUGGUUGCAAAAUUAUAGUGCCAUGACAAGGAGCUAUUACUUGAUCAUUCAAAACAGCAUUCAG
rnacentral:misc_RNA from 1 species